UGUAAGCGUAUACCAAAGUUGUUGCAGUUAAAACGCUCGUAGUCGGAAUUUGGCAGUUCCGGAAGUGUGCACGUCGUGUGAGCACUUUGCGGGGACUGCUUUUGUGGUCUUGCGUAGGAUGAGGCACUUUCAUUAGUGAACGUCCUCACGCAACCACUCUUUACUGUGAGAAAAUCAGAGUGCUCAAAGCAGGCAUUUGCCGUGAAUGUAUUAGCAUGGAAUAAUAGAAUAGGACUCGGUUCUAUUUUGUUGGUUUGUUGGGACUGAGUAAUGAUUAAGAGGGACAGUUGGGGGCAUUUGUAUUCCGGCGCUAGAGGUGAAAUUCUUAGAUUGCCGGAAGACAAACUGCUGCGAAAGCGUCUGCCAAGGAUGUUUUCAUUGA
rnacentral:rRNA from 1 species